UCAAGGAGCCCUUCUCUUCUCGUGGAGAAGCCUAGGGUUCGUUCUUGAUGGGCGCGGAAGUGCUCGUCGCCGUCGCGCUUUCCAUGGUGGAUCGAUUGAGCGCCUAGAUCGGUACGUGAAGUUAGCUCUUGAUUUGAUCGUCUAUUGAUGCAUCUGAUCUUAUAUGCACACACUACCAAAUAAUUUCUGGAAUAUAACCUAAACUUGGAUCGUCAGAUCUAUCCGAACUCUUUCUUUUUCCUCUGAAACUUCCGAGACAGAACUCAACUCAGUUCGUAUUGCCGCAAUCUCGGUUGGUAUUUUAUCUGCAUUAUAUAUCAACGGGAGUCACUCGAACAGGUCAUUCGAGGUUUCGUGUUUGUUCAAAACAAGAUUUAGCAU
rnacentral:lncRNA from 1 species